GCUAAACGCGAAGAACCUUACCUAGGCUUGACAUGCACUGUGUCUACGGUGAAAGCCGUAUAGUGUAGCAAUACACGCUUUGCACAGGUGCUGCAUGGCUGUCGUCAGCUCGUGUCGUGAGAUGUUGGGUUAAGUCCCGCAACGAGCGCAACCCCCUGUGAUUUGUUGCCACCGGAGCAAUCCGAGCACUCGAAUCAGACUGCCCAGAUCAACUGGGAGGAAGGUGGGGAUGACGUCAAGUCCGUAUGGCCCUUACGCCUAGGGCUGCACACGUACUACAAUGCCCAGUACAAUGUGAACCGAGACCGCGAGGUGGAGGAAAUCAAUAAAACUGGGCCCAGUUCAGAUUGUAGGCUGCAACUCGCCUACAUGAAGUCGGAAUCGCUAGUAAUGGCGCAUCAGCAACGGCGCCGUGAAUACGUUCCCGGGUCUUGUACACACCG
rnacentral:rRNA from 1 species